UACGUAGGGUGCGAGCGUUGCCCGGAUUCAUUGGGCGUAAAGCGCGCGCAGGCGGCUCCGCACGUCCCGCGUGAAAUCGCCCGGCUCAACCGGGCGGGGCCGCGGGCGACGGCGGGGCUCGGGCGAGGGAGGGGGCAGUGGAAUUCCCGGUGUAGUGGUGGAAUGCGUAGAUAUCAGGAGGAACGCCGGUGGCGAAAGCGGCCUCCUGGACCGAUACUGACGCUGAGACGCGAAAGCGUGGGGAGCAAAC
rnacentral:rRNA from 1 species